rnacentral:rRNA from 1 species
GACGUAGGGGGCCAGCGUUGCUCGGAAUUACUGGGCGUAAAGGGUUCGUAGGCGGUGUGGCAAGUCGGGAGUGAAAUCUCUGGGCUUAACUCAGAGGCUGCUUCCGAGACUGCCGUGCUAGAGUGCGGGAGAGGCGAGUGGAAUUGCAGGUGUAGCGGUGAAAUGCGUAGAUAUCUGCAGGAACACCCGUGGCGAAGGCGGCUCGCUGGACCGCAACUGACGCUGAGGAACGAAAGCUAGGGGAGCAAACAGG